rnacentral:lncRNA from 1 species
AUUCUUUGUAAAACUUUACAGAUAAGUAUGUGAUCAUCAAGCAAAGAAUGAUUACAUCUGGAUAAGUGGGUUUUCUUUUGAACUUUCCGUAGUGAACAUGCAUUGGAUGCACUUGGUCAAUCGGUAGAUUUGAUAUCUUUGAACCGUUGAUCUUUAAUGUACACCUAGAUAACACAUGUCAUACAACCAGACUUUUACCGUUUAUGGUUCUCAC